GCUGGGUGUGGUGGCACAUGCCUGUAAUCCCAGCUCAGGAGGCUGAGGCAGGAGGAUCUGAAUUCAAAGCCAGCCUCAG
rnacentral:sRNA from 1 species